rnacentral:rRNA from 1 species
UACGUAGGGUGCGAGCGUUGUCCGGAAUUACUGGGCGUAAAGAGCUCGUAGGUGGUUUGUCGCGUUGUUCGUGAAAACUCACAGCUUAACUGUGGGCUUGCAGCCGAUACGGGCGGGCUAGAGUUCGGUAGGGGAGACUGGAAUUCCUGGUGUAGCGGUGAAAUGCGCAGAUAUCAGGAGGAACACCGGUGGCGAAGGCGGGUCUCUGGGACGGUACUGACGCUGAGACGCGAAAGCGUGGGGAGCGAACAGG